rnacentral:rRNA from 1 species
AUUGAACGCUGGCGGCAGGCCUAACACAUGCAAGUCGAACGAGUGGCGGACGGGUGAGUAAUGUCUGUGAAACUGCCUGAUGGAGGGGGAUAACUACUGGAAACGGUAGCUAAUACCGCAUACCAUCGGAUGUGCCCAGGUGGGAUUAGCUAGUAGGUGGGGCAAAGGCUUACCUAGGCGACGAUCCCUAGCUGGUCUGAGAGGAUGACCAGGCACACUGGAACUGAGACACGGUCCAGACUCCUACGGGAGGCAGCAGUGGGGAAUAUUGGACAAUGGGCGAAAGCCUGAUGCAGCCAUGCCGCGUGUAUGAAGAAGGUCUUCGGAUUGUAAAGUACUUUCAGCGGGGAGGCGUUACCCGCAGAAUAAGCACCGGCUAACUCCGUGCCAGCAGCCGCGGUAAUAC